rnacentral:rRNA from 1 species
UACAGAGGGUGCUAGCGUUGUUCGGAAUUAUUGGGCGUAAAGGGCGCGUAGGCGGCCCUGUGUGUCGGGUGUGAAAUCCCACCUCUUAAAGGUGGAAUUGCAUUCGAAACUACAGGGCUGGAGUGUCGGAGAGGAUGGCGGAAUUCCUGGUGUAGAGGUGAAAUUCGUAGAUAUCAGGAGGAACACCGGUGGCGAAGGCGGCCAUCUGGACGACAACUGACGCUGAGGCGCGAAAGCGUGGGGAUCAAACAGG